GCCUUUGCUGGUGUUCUGUGUGUGAGUCCAGGAUAGGGAAUCUACAUAUGAAUUGAAUAAUUAUACUUUGAGUACAUGUUCCUUCAUCCAUGACAUUGAAAAAGGGAGGAACAGGUUCAGACUUCAUGUAAAAGCUUCAUGUAAACGUGCUACAGAAUUCAACUCUGUGAAUUUAAUCAGCACUUUGAGGAGCAGCAGAGGUCACUUCAUUAUAGCUGUUACUGGCCUCGUUUCUCUGUGCUUCUUCACUACCAAGAAAAACAUCGCACCGCAGGAGAUAUAAGCUUAUUUCAUUGGCGAGGGGAUUCCCACAGCUGUAAUAACCGUCAGCACCACUGGGUGGUAGUCGCUUUCUUCAGAUGGAGAGCAGAGCCGAGUGGGGGGACUUAGAGCCGGAGACUCCGCCAGAGGCCCUCCUCGGCGCUCCACACCUCGUACGAACCGCAGAUUUUGUGGGAUCCACACUUUGCCGCAGUCUCAGCUCGUUCAGAGGGCUGUGUGUACCUUGCAUCUCUUUUUCAGUGAGUCUACUACUAUGGCAAAGAGCAAUGCUAGCCAUGCUGAGUCCGGACAGCCCACUCCCCGGCACCUGCAAGCAGGUGGUGUCAGUGUUUUGUUAGCGAGCAGAAACACUGGUUGUGUCCUAGCAGGGUCAGCGACUGCGUCUUUCUGCUUCUAAGGUGGAGAAAUACGGUGAAUAUAGAAUGACUGGGGAUAGCUAAACAUGAGAGUAAUGCUUAUCCUUCUAAGCCCUCUAAACAGGCCGGUGAGUCUUAGUGCAGCCUGUAAAGGAACGUCUUGUGCUGUCAGCUCUAAAGUGUGUCACAUUAAAGUCUUACAAGCUGGAGGAGAUGUGUUGAGAUCGCCUUCAGUUGUCUCACGCUGCUGCAGUGCUGAGCAUGUUCCAGCAGUCUGACCGUACUGUGACUCAAGCAAGGGGCAUAUUUUUUAUACUGCAGGUCAAGAUUGGCCCAAAGAGGUUUUUUAGCCCCCUACCUCUGGGCCUAGAGUCAGCAGCUCCCUUCCUGUGAGCUGGCAGCAGAAUUGGAGCUGGAGGUUUCCAGCACAUCAACUUGUGUGCAUUUGUGUGAUUUGGCUUCUGUGCCAUCUCCCCUUCUGCU